rnacentral:lncRNA from 1 species
GUCUAAAUACAGAACUAAAAUUUCACACAUACUAUAUAUAUAUAUGAAAAUCAGCACGGUGUUUUGCCAUGAUAUAUAUUCUAAUCAUAAAAACUAUUCCCAUAGCCAUAGGCAUAGUAAUCUAAUAAUCUAAAACACAAAUGCAUGCGAGUGAGUGUUACUGCCACACGUUAGUUAGUCCAGAAGAAGCUAAGAAGCCCAGCCUAGGUCUCAAUUGUACGUAGAUGCACGAAAGGCACCAAUGAAUGUCUCUUUCCACAAUUUCACGCAUGCAGGAAAUCAUGACGUUAUUCACGCAAUGAUAGACACGAAACUCAGUGCUCAGUCUGGAAAAAUAUUGUAAUUAUAGGCUAUUAUUACUGCGUUAAAUGUAAAUGAUUUCUUCCCUUCAAGAGAGUACACAAGAUAUUCGCUUAUCUUCAUUUUUGGAAAAGUAUUUGCAAGGAACAUGUCACAUGAUCUUGCUCUAAAAUCAAUUAAUACAUCUGGAAAAAUUUUCAUGUUUCAUGUAUAUCAUCAACGUGUUUUCCUAUAUACUAUUUACACUUUUUUCUUUUUCUUUUCAAUGUACAUGCAAUGAACGUCUUAAUUUCUUGGGGGGAAGCUGUUAAUUCAGUUACGAUACAGCCCGCAGUACUGCACAGAUGUUCCCUUAUUUUGAAUCAAUUAUGUCAAUUUAAUUGCCACAACCAUUCAUGCGUCCAUGACCAUGGGUUUGAUUUUAGUGUUUCGUACAAAGUCGUAUGUGUCCUUUCGCCGUAAACGAGUUUUAUUUCCUCCCGAGUACAUUCAAGUCGAUCCACAGCACAAGUGUCAGUUUUAAAUGUUUGUCCCUAGUUGAAAUAGUCGACAUCGCCAAUAUUUGAAUAUUAAUAUGCAUUUUCCAAUUAAGGUGCUUGAAAGUUCUAUAGUAAACGAAGCUUUUCUACUUUUGCAGCCGGCAAAUAGAGUUGCCAUAUGCAACACGAUCCAUGUUGUACAGUUUAAUAGUACAAUGUUAAUAAGGUGAAAUUAUUUUUCUUUAGUAAAACUUGUCAGGAUGAUUCAAGUUACACAUACUGCUAUCUUUGUCCGUAUAUAUACACAUACACUGCAACUGCACGGCGAUUUUUAGCGGUUGAUCAAGGAUCUUUCGGUUUCUAAUGAGACUUGAACAUCACCGGCGAUGCAACAAAACGAACAGCACUGAUGGUACUUUUACUUCAUAACUCCGAGAAAAUAAGUUGGUGAAACUGUCAUGGCAAGUAAAUUUUAUCCACCUCAGAAUUUCUUGGUCAAGCGACAAGCAUGUCUAUAACUUCGGGCAUGUUUCUGUAUAAAUACAUAUCUUCAAGACUUCAUUUGAUCUUUUCCAGUUCGUCGAUUUUCAAAUGCACAGUGCUGCAUUAGCAUGUUCUAUGUCGUAACUGUUUCUAGUUUCACUUCCCCCAUUAACAAUAAUAAGAUCGCUUCAGUUCUUAAAGUCCAACUUAAAAGCUAAAUGUUUUCAAGAAAGUUAAGCAUCUUUAAAUUGUGCGGCUGUUAGGAAAAACAAUGUUCCUUUUCUGAUACAAGCAUGAUAAUUACAGAAUAUCUACAUUUUGAAAAUGGCGAAUUGCUGACAUUGCAAUAUUUUUGGCAAG